CAAGGAAUAGUUUAAGUAGAAUUUCAGCUUUGGGUGUUGAAGGUGGGGCCAGUGCUUCUUCCUUGA
rnacentral:tRNA from 1 species